AAGGCCCUAAGGAAAGGUGGACAAGGUUUAAGGAGGGUUUUAAGGCGGCGACUUCACAGAGUCCCUAUUUCACCUUCUCUCUCUUCUCUUUCUCUCUCAUGUAUCAUCUUCUUCGUCGGAGUCUCUCUGAAUUUGAUCGCACUAUCUUCGAGUCCGCCAUUGAAUUUCUCUCAGAUUUGACGUCAAUUUAAUGUCCAUCGGUAAACCCUCUCUAAUCCCCGCAAAUUUCAGCGAAGGAAUUGGCCAUUUCCGACCAUCCGAGAGCAAAGCCCUAAUCUUCCCCGCGGAACCAUCGCCAAUGUGGAGAAACUGCGCCAAGCAAGCCUUCUGGAGAACCCGCUGUUGUCGUCUCAGUUCUCAGUCUUCUUCUCCCGCUUCCCGGCACUUUCUCGAGAAAUCGCCGGAACCGAAUUUCCCUAACAAGCUCAAGUCUCGGCCUUUCGAGCUGGUUCCGGGCUUAACUCGUGGAGAAGUAUCUGUGAGAAGUUCUGAUUUUGGGAAUUUGAGGAAUCCGAGUGGGUUUAGCGUGUUUUGCCCCAGGGGAUUUUCGAGCGUGGCCGAGGCGGUCUCGUCUCCGACGGAUGUCGAGGAAGACGUCUUGGUGGAUGAGGACUUUCAGGAGCUGAUGCAGGAUGUGGGGAAAGAGGAGAAAAGGCGGGUCCGGCAUUGGCAGCAGAGGAGGCUGGCGGUUGCGAGAGGAAUGGGGCAGAGUAGGUACGAGUUUCUGAAGAAGAGGCAGGUGAAGAUCGAGACGGAAGCGUGGGAGAAGGCGGCGGCGGAGUACAGGGAGCUUUUGAUGGAUAUGUGCUCGAAGAAGCUGGCGCCGAAUCUGCCCUACAUGAAGUCGUUGUUCCUCGGUUGGUUCGAGCCGCUGAAGAAGGCCAUUGAGCAGGAGCAGGAGCUGUACCGGGAGGGAAAGAAGAGGACGAUGUGCUCGCCGUUCUUUGCUCAGUUGUCGCCGGAGAUGAUGGCGGUCAUCACGAUGCAUAAGUUGACGGGGCUGCUGAUGUCGAGAGACGAGUAUGGCAUUGCCCGGGUUGUUCAAGCUUCUCUUUUGAUUGGAGAUGCCAUUGAACAGGAGGUUAAAAUACAAAGAUUCUUGGAAAAGUCCCAAAAUAAAAAAGUUGGUAAAGAUGGGGAAAAUAGAGGAGAGCCUGGCUCCAAGGUAGAAGAGAAGUUGAAGAAAAGAGUCACCAAAUUGAUGAAACAAAAAAAACUGCGGGCAUUGAGACAGACAAUGAACGAAUGGGAUGGUUCGAAACCCUGGAGCCAAAGCAUCAAGGCUAAGGUUGGAAGUCGUCUGAUUGAAUUGUUGAUUCAAACAGCUUACAUACAACCUCCUGUUGAUCAGUUUUCUGAUGAUCCGCCUGAAAUACGACCAGCAUUUGUACACACACUUAAGACUUUGACGAAAGAUCCAAAAAAAACUGGCAAAAAAUUUGGUUUCAUUCAGUGUGAUCCUCUAGUUGUCAAAGGCCUUGAGAAAUCUGCAAACCACGUGGUGAUUCCUUACAUGCCUAUGUUGGUACCCCCAAUCAAGUGGAAAGGCUAUGACAAAGGAGGGCACUUUUUCCUACCAUCCUAUCUCAUGCGUACUCACGGAGUAAGACAACAGCGUGAAGCUGUCAAAAAGGCCCCAAGAGAGCAACUGGAACCAGUUUUUGAGGCCUUGGACACUCUUGGGCAUACCAAAUGGAGGAUUAAUAAGAGGGUUCUCGAUGUUGUAGAGAGAAUAUGGGCUGGUGGAGGCCGUCUUGGUGAUUUGGUAGAUCGUGAUGAUGUUCCUUUACCAGAGAAACCAGAUACUGAAGAUGAAGCACUGCUAAAGAAAUGGAAAUGGGAAGUUAGGUCUGUGAGGAAAGAGACUAGAGAGAGACAUUCUCAGCGGUGUGACACAGAACUUAAACUGUCGGUGGCAAGGAAAAUGAAGGACGAAGAAGGUUUCUACUAUCCUCACAAUGUUGACUUUCGAGGCCGUGCAUACCCUAUGCAUCCACACUUAAAUCAUCUUGGUUCAGAUUUGUGCCGGGGUAUUUUGGAGUUUGCAGAGGGACGUCCUCUGGGAAAAUCAGGCUUGCGUUGGCUGAAAAUUCACCUGGCUAAUUUAUAUGCUGGUGGUGUGGACAAAUUAUCUCAUGAGGGACGAAUAGCAUUUGUUGAGAAUCACUUGGAUGAAAUAUUUGAUUCUGCAGACAGACCAAUAGAAGGAAAGCGUUGGUGGUUGAAUGCAGAAGAUCCAUUUCAGUGCUUGGCUGUGUGCAUUAACCUUUCUGACGCUUUGAGAAGUUCUUCUCCGGAAACAUUUAUUUCUCACGUCCAUGUACAUCAGGAUGGCUCUUGCAAUGGUUUACAACACUAUGCCGCUCUAGGAAGAGACAAGUUGGGAGCAGCUUCCGUUAAUUUGGUUGCGGGAGAGAAACCUGCAGAUGUUUACUCGGGAAUAUCUGUAAGGGUAUUGGAAAUAAUGCGUAGAGAUGCAGAGCAGGAUCCUGAAGUUUUCCCCGAUGCAUUGCGUGCAAAAGCAUUAAUUAAUCAGGUGGAUAGGAAGUUGGUGAAGCAAACAGUGAUGACUUCAGUAUAUGGCGUCACUUAUAUUGGUGCUAGGGAUCAAAUCAUGAGGAGGUUGAAGGAACGAGGUCUCAUGUUGGAUGAUAAGGACCUCUUUGGCUGUGCUUGUUAUGCUGCUAAGGUCACCUUAACUGCUUUAGGGGAGAUGUUUGAAGCUGCACGCUAUAUAAUGAGCUGGCUUGGGGAUUGUGCAAAAAUUAUUGCGUCUCAGAAUGAGCCAGUGAAGUGGACAACUCCGCUUGGGCUUCCCGUUGUUCAACCAUACCGUAAACUAGGGAGGCAUUUUAUCAAAACCUCACUUCAGGUUUUGACAGUACAUCGAGAAACAGAGAAGGUCAUGGUCAAGAGGCAGAGAACCGCAUUCCCACCAAAUUUUGUCCACUCCCUUGAUGGUUCUCAUAUGAUGAUGACUGCGGUAGCCUGCAGAAAGGCAGGCAUAACAUUUGCCGGAGUUCAUGAUUCAUACUGGACACAUGCAUGCGAUGUGGAUGAAAUGAACAGGAUACUGCGAGAGAAUUUUGUCGAACUAUACAAGACUCCAAUCCUGGAGAAUUUAUUGGAGAGAUUCGAAGAAUCUUUCCCCGGACUGGCCUUCCCCCCUUUGCCUGAACGGGGUGAGCUUGACCUAAAGGAUGUGUUAGAGUCGCCAUAUUUCUUCAACUGAUCAACACAGGAGUGUGUCCUCAUGUCAGAUGCCACAUGCUUCUGGUGAUGUUCCAUCUCAAAUAAUCCAGUCCACUUCCAUUGACAAGCAUGUAAAGGAAAAUAGAGGCAAAGAGGAUCCUCACAGAAACAUGCUAUAUCGCAUCAGUUGUAUGUUGAAGGCAGUUAUAAAGGUGACCCGAGGGAACUGGUGAUGUAGUGUGUUGGUCACAUGUAACUUUUGGAACACUGUUAAGGGAAGUAUGACCUUAAGGGGGUUAUUAGAGCAGGGUAUCAUGGUGACUUGGAGCUUUACUGACAGUAGAUAGAACCAGAUCUGAGAAAUGGAUCUCGAAUCACAGAAUAACCAGAAAUUUCACGAAAUAACGCAGAUUUUACAGGGAAAUCUAGUUUGAUGGAUCAGGGCGACAAGGCUGGGUAGAGUAUUGACUAGAGAGAAAAUGUCGACUAAGGACUGUCCGCAGAGAGAAGUCGAGAGCCUACUGAUAUGAGAGAAGGAUUUAAGAAGAUUGUGUACCAGUUGUGACAAGCGGAAGAAAGCAAGGAAACAGGCGCAGCUUUGACAAAGUUCCUUGUUACAUAUGAUAGUUGAUGAAUUAUUCUUGUUACUUAUUGCACAAUUUUGGUUGUACGGGAAUAAAAAUUACUUAUGUGGUACGUCAAAAGAUGUUGAUUUACCAUCAUCCACAUGUCUAUUGUAAAAAUCCCAAAAGUCACAGACUGAUUCGGAUUAUAUUGGUC